rnacentral:lncRNA from 1 species
UAAAAUUUAUGAUAAAAGGGAUGAUUUUUCAUUUCCUAUCGUUAAUUAUCCGUUUUUAGAUGGUGACGUUCCCUUGUCACCAUCUUACGGUGUUUAUAUAUCUCAACUUGUACGAUUCGCUCGUGUAUGUAACAAUGUUUUCGAUUUUAACGAGAAAAAUUUAUGUAUUACUGAAAAAUUAUUACACCAGGGUUUUCGAUAUCACAAACUAGUCAAAACAUUUACUAAAUUUUAUCAUCGGUAUAAAGACA